GACGGAGGGGGCAAGCGUUGUCCGGAAUCACUGGGCGUAAAGGGCGCGUAGGUGGCUGCGUGCGUCGGUGCUGAAAGCGCCGGGCUUAACCCGGCGAGGCGUGCCGAUACGACGCGGCUAGAGGCAGGGAGAGGGUAGCGGAAUUCCGGGUGUAGUGGUGAAAUGCGUAGAGCUCCGGAGGAACGCCAGAGACGAAGGUGGCUACCUGGCCCUGACCUGACACUGAGGCGCGAAAGCGUGGGGAGCGAACCGG
rnacentral:rRNA from 1 species